rnacentral:miRNA from 1 species
AGUGGGUUGGCCAAAACAUUCAUUCAGGUGUUUCCAUAACGUCUUAUAGACAAACCUGAGUGAACUUUUGGGCAACCCAG